rnacentral:siRNA from 1 species
UCUAACGAUUUUAGGGCUAGGC